GGUUUACCAGAAUUGAAUGCUUUGAUUUUGGGAGAGUUUGGGGUGUUCAAGCCUAAAUCAAUCAUAAGAAUAGGUUACUGCCAUGGUCACUAUUUGUCCAUGAAGGAUGACACCAACAGACUUCUCAUGGCUACACUCGAAGAUGAGAUGGGCCAAAAUAUGAAUGAAGGACUGCAGUAUUUCAGGGAUGUUUUGUUUGUUGAAGGGGAGAUUUUGCUCGCGGCACUGUUAUGGAAUUUGUCCUCAUCUGAAGCUGAGUGCCGCCUUUACCCGAAGAGUUCAUAAACCUUUUUUUGUUUUUGGUGUGGAUGUGUAUUAGUGUAUGUGUCCAUGGCUCUUUAUUUUUGCCUAAUGUAGUAGCUAACUACAUAAGAAAUGUUAUUAGGGAUUUUUAAAUCCAAGGAGCACAUGCAAACAAAAACUACUUUGCAGUCUUUUCAUAUUUAAAUAAACCAUUUCAAUAUAAUUAAAUAUUGGCACUUCAAUUUUUUAUCAUGAAGGUUUUGUAAAAUUGCAAUUUGUAUAUGAUUUACUUUAAGUGCCUUGUUAUAUAUUAGAACAUAUUAUUUUAAUCAUAAUAUUCCAAUCCCUCUGAUUGGCUUAAAGUUGGUCACAUGAUUAAGUAUAUAACAGCAUAUAGACUUGAGUUACUAUUUAUAGAAUCUGAAAUGCAUAUCAACUUGAUGUUUCUUAAAAUGGAGUUAAUUUUCUGUAAAGCGAAAAAAAGUAAUCAUUGCAAAUAAUUUCAUUUACGUGACAUGUUCUUGUUUAAUAAUGUUAUAAUAUAACAGUAUCUGUAUUGUACAUAUUGUCAUUCUUAUCCAUCACGUGAUCAUUAUUGAUCCAUUUACCAAAAGAGAAAGCAUGGUUUAUUGAACUGCUGAAUUUUUUUAACCCACCAUCCACCCCAUCUGCCACCAAUGCUUGUUAUUUCUUUCAGGUUGACAUUUUUGUUAUGUUUUAACCAUCUUUUUAUGAUAGUGUUCGAAUGGGAUAAAGUGAUUUUUAAUAUUCAUUCUCCAGCGGACGUUCUAACUGAAAAAGUAAAUUUUUGUACAUUGUAAUAAAUAGCAAUUCCAUGUAUUAGAUUACUGAGAUUGAGUCCGCCAUUCAUUUUGUGUACCUCGCAAAUUUGCUUCUGUCUGCAGCUUUCCUUUUGAUUUUUAAACAUUAAUCAGUGUUACUUUUUAUAUAUAUUUUUUCCUCAGCGGUGAGGGAAGCAUUUUUUGUGUUCAAUUUAAUGCCUAUCUGAUUGCUUUGUUAUUGGCUGUUUGUUAUUUUGUUUUCCCACCUUUUUUGAUGGCAGGCAGCAGUUUUGAGCAUUUUGUAUAUGUCUUCGGAACUUAUGAUGUUUAUAAGGGGGUCAACUUGAAAUACAUGUAUAUUGUAAUUUGUGAAAGAUUACAGGGUUUGAAUUCUUAUUCUAGUCUGGUUGACCCCCCUUUUGCCUAUGUACAUCAUGUUACAAUGUCAUUAUGGUUCUGGGGGUCAGAUUGUUUAAUAUUUUGACUAACAUGUGUAAUACUCUAUAUUUGAGUCCUCCUUUUAAUGACCCCAAUUUUAUUAACUGUGUUUACCUUUCCGUCAUUUACAAUAAUAAAUGACAUAUUUUACUUCUA